GGGCCAUAGCUUAGUGGUAGAGCAUUUGUUUUGCAUGCAGAAAGUUCCAGGUUCCAAUCCUAGCAUCUCCA